CAGCUGUCAGGACAGGGUCCGUGAGGGACACAGUACUUGGUCCUAGACGCAAAAAGAAAAAGUCAGGGAAAAGCAGAAAUGUUGGUGGAGUGGGAGCCCUGUCCAGUAUGUGGCAAGGAGUGGGCUCAUUCCUGGCAGCCGAAGAAUUCUCCGGGAUAAUGCAUAAAAAUAAAAACUGUUAUUUGAACUCCAG